rnacentral:other from 1 species
CUCGCCCUGCGCGGUUCGUGCUUGGAGAGGGCACUUUUGAGCCAACACUAUUUGAACGGGUUCCCUGGUCCAUUCGUGGUGAGCGUCCUCCUUCGCGGGGACGCCUGAAGCGAAGGCCGGGUCCCCACGCUGGUUGUCCAGGUUCAAAUAGUCCCCUCCUCACGGCCAAGCGGGGCUUUU